AUGGAUCACUUGCUUGUUCAAUGUGUCUUCUCAAGGAUCACUUGGCACGAGAUCUUAUCCUGGUGUCGCCUUCCGGUGCCCCUGCCCGAGGCCAACUCGUCUUUCUUCGCAUGGUGGUUCGCCUCAUUGGCUGCUUCUCCGGCAAGCCUGAGGAAAGGCCUCAACUCCCUUGUAGCUCUCACCGCUUGGAGCAUCUGGAAGCAUCGCAAUGCCGCUCUCUUCGACGACCUCCGACCAUCUACCGACGCCCUUGUUCACACCAUCAAGGAGGAGGCCCGGCUUUGGUCCAGAGCCGGCGCCCUAGGCUUAGCAUCUAUUAUCCCUGUCACCUAG
rnacentral:rRNA from 1 species